ACUCAAAUGAAUAGACGGGGACCCGCACAAGCGGUGGAGCAUGUGGUUUAAUUCGACGGUAAGCGAGGAACCUUACCAAGGCUUGACAUGUACCUGCAUCCCGAUGAAAAUCGGGAGCCUUCGAGGGUGGUACACAGGUGCUGCACGGUUGUCGUCAGCUCGUGUCGUGAGAUGUGCACUUAAGUGUGCGAACGAGCGCAACCCCUAUUGCUGGUUACAAGUGUCCAGCGAGACUGCCAGGGUUUAACCUGGAGGAAGGUGGGGAUGACGUCAAAUCAGCGUGGCUCUUACGCCUUGGGCUACACACGUGCUACAAUGGGUAGAAACAAAGGGACGCCAAGGAGCAAUCCGGAGCAAAUCCCGCCAAAUCUACCCCCAGUUCAGAUUGAGGGCUGAAACUCGCCCUCAUGAAGCCGGAAUCGCUAGUAACCGUAUAUCAGCCUCGAUACGGUGAAUACGUUCUCGGGUUUUGUACACACCGCCCGU
rnacentral:rRNA from 1 species